ACGCUGGCGGCAGGCCUAACACAUGCAAGUCGAGCGGUAGAGAGAAGCUUGCUUCUCUUGAGAGCGGCGGACGGGUGAGUAAUGCCUAGGAAUCUGCCUGGUAGUGGGGGAUAACGUUCGGAAAUGGACGCUAAUACCGCAUACGUCCUACGGGAGAAAGCAGGGGACCUUCGGGCCUUGCGCUAUCAGAUGAGCCUAGGUCGGAUUAGCUAGUUGGUGAGGUAAUGGCUCACCAAGGCGACGAUCCGUAACUGGUCUGAGAGGAUGAUCAGUCACACUGGAACUGAGACACGGUCCAGACUCCUACGGGAGGCAGCAGUGGGGAAUAUUGGACAAUGGGCGAAAGCCUGAUCCAGCCAUGCCGCGUGUGUGAAGAAGGUCUUCGGAUUGUAAAGCACUUUAAGUUGGGAGGAAGGGCAUUAACCUAAUACGUUAGUGUUUUGACGUUACCGACAGAAUAAGCACCGGCUAACUCUGUGCCAGCAGCCGCGGUAAUACAGAGGGUGCAAGCGUUAAUCGGAAUUACUGGGCGUAAAGCGCGCGUAGGUGGUUUGUUAAGUUGGAUGUGAAAUCCCCGGGCUCAACCCGGGAACUGCAUUCAAAACUGACUGACUAGAGUAUGGUAGAGGGUGGUGGAAUUUCCUGUGUAGCGGUGAAAUGCGUAGAUAUAGGAAGGAACACCAGUGGCGAAGGCGACCACCUGGACUGAUACUGACACUGAGGUGCGAAAGCGUGGGGAGCAAAC
rnacentral:rRNA from 1 species